GAGCCUGAGAGCAGGUCCCCGGACAACAGGACCCAGCUGGUCCCCGCGUGCAUGCCAGGGGGACGCUGGUGCCCUGGAGCCAACAUCUGCUUGCCGCUGGACGCCUCCUGCCACCCCCAGGCCUGCGCCAAUGGCUGCACGUCAGGGCCAGGGCUACUCGGGGCCCCCUAUGCGCUAUGGAGAGAGUUCCUCUUCUCCGUUCCCGCGGGGCCCCCCGCGCAGUACUCGGUCACCCUCCACAGCCAGGAUGUCCUCAUGCUCCCUGGUGACCUCGUUGGCUUGCAGCACGACGCUGGCCCUGGCGCCCUCCUGCACUGCUCGCCGGCUCCCGGCCACCCUGGUCCCCAGGCCCCGUACCUCUCCGCCAACGCCUCGUCAUGGCUG
rnacentral:lncRNA from 1 species